ACUUUGUGCUUUCAAAUUUAACCUGCUGCAUACUUCUUGUAUGCAUAAUUUAAGUGUUAAGGGCAUGCAUCUAUGAAAGGGGAUUGGUGAGGGAUAGAGGAGGCAUCAGCCAAGGCUUGCCCAUGAGAGAGGGCGAUGGCUAAGGGAGGGAGAAGGUGGCAGCAAAGAGAGAUGAGGGCAGAAGGGAGCUACCCCCUUAAUUCCUGCUUUCCCUUCAUUGAUAGGUGGCUGUCUAUAUAGAGAGGAUAGUGAUCCCUAAGCAAUAUAUUACAAUCUUUAAUAAUCCAGAGGCUACCUAAUCUAAUACUACCAAACUUUAUGGGUAAGUAACUAUGCAUUAGGAUCAUGGAUCUGCAUGCAUACUACAGAUCAUGUGCACAGUGCUUCGGGCCUCCUUGGAUCAAGGCUGGACUGGCAGGUCCUUGGGCCAUGUCUAGGCCCAUAACAAUUUAUUUAAAAACAAAACCAUGAUGUCAGCACAUGUGAGCGUGAAACAUAGAUAUUUUGUGAAGAAGGGUAUCCAUGGAUCCUCUGGUCAUUAAAGAAUGUGGAGUAUGUUGCAAAACUCUAAUAAAAUAUCAUGGACACUUUGUUCAAUUACUAUAUAUUGCUGGAACAGUUAUGCCACCGGUUAGUAGUUUGAUAAGUGCAGGAAAAAAAAGGAAAUAAAUUCCAUGAGGAGUUCCUUACCCUUUCUCUGUUGAUUCCUUGAUCUUGGUAUGUAAAAACUACAGUAGCUAUCCAUAUACUCCCUCCAUUUUGUUUUGAUAGCUAUAUUUCACCUUUACACAAUGAC